CCUACGGGAGGCAGCAGUGGGGAAUAUUGGACAAUGGGCGAAAGCCUGAUCCAGCAAUGCCGCGUGAGUGAUGAAGGCCUUAGGGUCGUAAAGCUCUUUUACCCGGGAUGAUAAUGACAGUACCGGGAGAAUAAGCCCCGGCUAACUCCGUGCCAGCAGCCGCGGUAAUACGGAGGGGGCUAGCGUUGUUCGGAAUUACUGGGCGUAAAGCGUGCGUAGGCGGUUAUUCAAGUCAGAGGUGAAAGCCCGGGGCUCAACCCCGGAACGGCCUUUGAAACUAGGUAGCUAGAAUCUUGGAGAGGUCAGUGGAAUUCCGAGUGUAGAGGUGAAAUUCGUAGAUAUUCGGAAGAACACCAGUGGCGAAGGCGACUGACUGGACAAGUAUUGACGCUGAGGCACGAAAGCGUGGGGAGCAAACAGGAUUAGAUACCCUGGUAGUCCACGCCGUAAACGAUGAUAACUAGCUGUUCGGGUACUUGGUAUCUGAGUGGCGCAGCUAACGCAUUAAGUUAUCCGCCUGGGGAGUACGGUCGCAAGAUUAAAACUCAAAGGAUUGACGG
rnacentral:rRNA from 1 species